AUGUAUUUGUUAGGCACGACGCGGAAAAACGAUCGUUACAACCACUAUAUGAUGGACCAUACGAAGUAAUCAGGCGUAAUAAUAAAUAUUUUACCAUCUUAGUAAAUAAUCGCGAGAAAAACAUUAGCAUCAACCGAUUAAAACCUGCGCAUAUAGAACCGACAGAACUCACGGAAAGAAAUAGUUCACAUACAGGAAAUACGAGCGACCAAACAACAAGCCGAAUACCUAAAAGCAUCCUUAAGCAAGGGGUACCGAUUAAAACACGAUAUGGACGAACAGUGAAAUUCGCCGACCGAUAUCAAGCAGUGUAAAUACUUUUCCUGUAUAUAGAUUUUUUUUUUGUUUUUUUUUUUUUGCGCAUUAUUCAUAUUAUUGUUAGCCUAUCUUACUAUAACUUACUAUAAUUACAUUUAUCUAAACCUGUAAAUAUUAUAUAGCGUUAUCACUGGCAAGAGGGUAAUGUGGCGGCAUCGGCGACGAGCUGACGCCACGUUUCCGGCUUAUAUUUAUAAUAAUUAUGUUUAGUUUUAAAUGUUACGUCUGGAAGAGUGAAUGGAGGUGCGUGUUGCGUGACAAGCGUUGAGUGAAUGUUUAGAUUAUUGGUUCGAACAUCGAGCGGAUGUUUAUAUGAUUGGGUCGAAUGUUCCUUUGGGUGAAUGCAUUUAUUUAAACAGAGUGCAAGCGUUGUGAGAAUGAAGGAAGAAUGUCUGCGAUGCUUGGGGGAACGAAUGAUGAGUCUGUAAGCUAGUCUAGAAAGAGAAGUCACGGAGUACGGACGCGAUCGUUCCAUUAAAAAGUCUUAAAAAGCACAUGAGUCUUACUUAUUUUCCCGUCAGCCACUACAAUAUAUAAUACAUAGCAAAUAUACUGCACAUAUUAUAUAAAUAUUUAUAUGUAUCAAACAUGCAGUUGAUACAUAUUGGACAAGAUAUAAUGUGUAUCAUAUUUACUAGCUGGCGCCAUGAAAGUCGAGCAUGUUUUUGUUAUUAUGCAGCAAUUUAUUGAAUAAAGUGUUGGUUAGAUAGGUGAAAAAUGAUUUAGUUAGUCGAAAGUUAUAUCAUAAAUAAUUUUUAAUUUUUAUCUUAUAGCAAUUAGAUGGAUAAAAAAAAUUAGCGUACUAAUGGUAUUAAUUCUUUCACAAAUGGUUGUAAAUAUUCAUUGGCAUUGUUUGGUUUCUUUUGAUCUUAAAAUAUCCCAAUUACAUGCACUUGUUUUGAAAUAUCAUAUUGGCCAGAAAACACUUGGCGAUGAUUUGAAUAUUGUGACAAUAAUAAUGAAGAAGGACAUAACACAUGAGAAGUAACCACAGUCGAUGAAGAUUCUAUUGAUAUUGAAGAACAAGGGGAAAUGCAAUUCAAUCAUUAAACUGUGACAGUUCAAGUGAUGAUGCAGGUGCUUUUGAAAACACCUAAGAAAACUGCUGAAAUAGUGUAGUAGCUGGAGGAUCAUAUUAUCACGUUGGUCUAUAGAAACAAUCCUGCAAUUAAAAGUAGCUAGUAUUUACCAUUAUUUGUCUUUGAUUGAUCUAAGCAGCUACAGUCAUUCAAUAAGAGGAAACGAAGGGAUGAAUUGCUUGUUUCAUGAAGCAAAUAAUUUCCUAACGAAGCAACAGUAUUUUGGUGCUCUUCAAAAAUAGGAGCUGCCGCUGUGAAAUUCUCGUAUUUUAUCUGAGUGAAGGAUAUCUGGUAGUAAUUAUUAAAAUACCACCAGAAGAAUCGUGCAAGUAUUACAGGAAAUACGAUAAAGUUUGACAGGUAUAUUGAAAUUGGCCAGUUAAAAUAUACUGCGACCUGACAGACUGUAUAAUAGAAGGAACUAAGUGAUCUAUAUAUAAUGUUUGGGUAAUUAUUUAGAAAUAUGCCCUCCUCACCGAUUUCGAUGACCUUGAUAUAUGUUGUCAAUGUCAUCAUUCUGAACAACUUUUCCCUAUAUAUGUUACCGUCGCUCGGCUUUAGUUUCCGAGAUAUUUGCAUAUAAAGAUCAUGCAUUUACAUAUACGAACACACUAUAUAUAGCAUAAAACAACACACACUAUAACGGUUCAAACUUGUUCUGAGAGCUUGUAUCAUGCACGAUCUUUAUUCGUACAGUAAAACAAAUGGGAGUCCGCUUGGAUAUGCCUAAUGAAUUAGAGAAAAGUCUAGUUGAAAUAGCAAUGGAUUCAAAGGAAGAGAAAGAGAUACAGAAAAAGGCAAAAGAUAUCUUAAAAGAAAUAAAAUCUCGAAAUCGUCCUGUUUCUCAUUUGAAUAAGGCCUCCUAUGGCCUAAAGCAAGCAGGGAAGCAGUGGAAUGAAAAGUUGGAUGAGAAACUAAAGAGUUUAUGUACCAAAUGCCAAGUUGUAUAAUAUUUUAAUCAACCGAAUGUCGACGCCUUACAACCAUAAAAAAACGAUAAAAUAAAAUAAAAUUUAAUAAUAGUUUCGGUUGUACGAAAUCCACAACUCGGAACUUUCUUGCGCGUCUAAUAAAUUAAAUAAUAACUUGUUGAAGACUGUAGUAUUAUCCUUCAAUUUAAAUGUAUAUUCUUCUAUCUUCGGAAAUGGAGUCAUUUAUCUGAUUUAUGAAAAUGUAGAAAACAUCGUAGACUUAACUGCGUCGCUCCAUGCUGAAUAUUUCACGGUAGACGAAACUAACGCGUACGGUAAAUUUCCGACCGGAAAAGAAUAACCGUGUAAGCUGGUGAAGAAUCGCGAAAAAACUCGUAACGACGACUCACGGCGUAUGUACAAUAGAUAAUACUGUUAUCGUGGCUGUAACAGUAUUAUAUAUACUAUUUUAAAUAAUAAAUGCUAUAUCGUUUAAGUAUAGUCGGUGGAAGGGAUCUUGUGAGGUUGUAAAGUCGGUCGGACAUCGAUCUUUACAACUUAAGUCGACCCGAAAUAGUAUCUGACACCUUUUUAGAUAAGGACAGAGCUAGACUUUUCGUUCAGGGCCGUAUAGUAUCAGAAUUAGGAUGUUCAUAUUUCAAUAACUUUUUUCUUCUUAUGUAUGUUCACACAUAAUUCUGUUGGCCGACUUAUUGAAAAUACUGUGGUAGGUAGGAAUUUAGUUAACCAAUCAUCGUCAAGAGUUUUCCAAUUUGGAAAAACCCGCGUAGCAAACAUCAAGUCUUGGGGCCCCCAGGUGUAACGUGAGCAUGAAUACUUUAGAGCCGCGACACCCCUGUCGUCCUACGGAUCAGUUACCUGGGCCAAUAAAAUAAUAACUACUGUUUCGGUUUACGACCUCACAAGAUCCCUUCCAGCGACUAUAAUAGGAAGCAGAUGUAUGCAAGCUACACGAUUAAGUGCUUUACAAUUAACAUCAGAACUUUUUCAUAAAUACAGAGAAUGAGUAAAUCCACAAGCGAUUUGUUGAGUACUUAAGGAAUGUGAGUCUAAUAAACGUAAUGGUCAAAAAAGUUGUACACGAAUGAAGUAAAUAAUACUCCUACCUUAUGGAAAAAAAGAGAAUAAAUUUUGCAAAGGAGUUCAUUUCAGAGAAAAAGAAGAAUAAGGGUGAAAUAUCGCGAUUAUUGCUGAUGAUAAGAGAGAUUUACAAAAAAGGGACACAAACUUAACUAUUUUAAAGAUGCAAUAAUACCAUUACCAACAAUAUUGUCUGACGAAAGGUUAACGAAGAAUUGAAAUAAAAAAAUCGAAGGUCUAGAACAUUUGGAGUCGGAGUCCUAGUUUUUAUUUGGGAGAUCUAGUUUUAAACACAAUGAAUGAAAAUGUAUUUAUGGAAGUUCUUAUGAAUUUUGAAGUUAUGAAGUUUAUGAAGUUUGUUAGAUAUUCCUGCCGCUAUAUAGAUUUAAGAUAGUACUUUUCUUAUUAAGUCAACAAAUCGAAUAUAUAGAUUGCACAUUAAGCAAUAGAAGUUGUACCAUUUUCAAAUUUUAGGUGCACAAAGAAUUUAUGGCAUGAAUUAACAUUUAACAUUUAUAAAACUUUAAUGUAUCCAAAAAAAGCAGAAUUAGAAAUUAUAUUGAAUACGUAUCGUCGUUAAGGAGAUAUUUUUAGGUUGAAAUUUGUUUAGUUUAUUGUACAUCUUAUAAAACAUACAAAGCAAACAUGCAAACAUUUAAUUUGCCAUAACUUUAGUAGGUAAAAGUCCUUUCAAAUAUUCUUUAUUCCAAUGGUUAUAUAAAAUAACCAUAUUGUUAAUACGUAAAAGUUUAUGUUUUAUUUUCUAUAAUUCACAAUCUACUUUUAUUUGGCGAGCUUUAUUUUUAUAUGAUUGUCAUACUUUUUGACACAAAUCUAAUGAACGACAUUUUCAAUAUAUUUUAUUAAUAUAUAAAAGUAAUAGUAAAUGUUCCGUAACAAAAUUUUUCUUUUGAACUUCAAUAAACUCUAUACUUCAAAAUCGAUACUGGCAACACUGUAACUGUUAUAUUAGACAUGAAAAUGCUACAAAAUUGCAAAUAAAAAGGCAAGAAUAGCAUUUGCAAUAUAAGUCCAAAUGUGAAUUCAAUAUAAUUAUCAUAGUGAAGAAACUUUCAAAGAAUUACAGAUAAUUUUUAUAAAUAAAUGUUAGGAAUCAAUUACCAUAUUUUCCAUUAUACUGUUAAAUUUUGGUACAUUGAUUUUACAAUGAAUUGACACAUAUAGCCUAGCACACGGGUAUUGGUGAAUUUCUCUUUUAGAAUAUAGAUGUAAAAUAAGCUAUUACUUUGAUACAAAAAACACGCAAAAACAAUGUUCGUAAACCAUAAAUUAUUGUAUUUACUUAGAGCAUUCAUUUGUGUAUUAAAGUAACGAUUUGUAAAAAGUAUGUCGAUACUUAGAACAUUUACACUACCGAAGAAAAACUAAAUCAGAAGGCGAAACGUAUAAUGUCUAUUAUCCCGCAUAAUAAGCGCAUGGGAUAUUUUUGUAGUUUUGUUUUUCUUUGAAUUUUUUAUAUUCUAGGGCUUACUUAGUAACACCAAAGCUAGAAAAACGUAUUUUGAAAAAUUUCUAUUUGUCCAUUUCAGAAUGUAUGUUUGCCUCAUAAAAACAUGAAAAAUGUUCAAAUAUCCUGCAUCCCAUUUCCCCAAGACAAAUGAAAAACCCAAAAAAUGUAUUGUAUAAAAUUUCCUACUAAACAGAAAGUUGCUUCCCAAUAUGUACAAAAAUGAAUUGCAUACAAUAACAAUUCUCAGUUACAUGAAAAUAUACCAUUUCACUUUUGCAAAAUUUAAUACAAAUUGUUUUCCAAUGUGUACGAAAUUAAUUAAACACAAUCUAAAUUGUCUCCUGUAUAGACACGUCUUGUUCCAUUUCCUUCAGAAAGCUAAAAUGUCAUUAUAUUAAUUACAAAGUUGCUACCUAUGUACAUAUUUCAACGUUUUGCAUAGUCUGUUAUGAGAUAAUUGUUUAAAUUCAGCAAAGAAUAAUAAAGAUGACAUAAAAAAAAAGAUGAUAUCUCUUUUUUCUCGGAUAUUCCAAUUUCAAUCUUCUUGCGAAUAGAUUUU